CUCGCCUUCUCCCACGAACACAAUCAGGUUACAACAAUUUUGGGAAGAAUCACCCUGGAUUGAAAACUGAAAGCUGGAUAAAAAGAACCCCCAUGACAAGCGACAGUCCUGACGAAAGCAGAAGAGGCAGUAACUCUGGCCGAAGAGGAAAAAAGCCACCUUUGGGAGCAGCGGAGCUUCUCAGCUGGCCAGGCGGGAGCCAACCUAAGGUUCUCCAUAUGAGUUAAAGACUUCCUCUACCACAAGACUGAUGCCCUCACAAUGGCAGAAAAACUGUUAGAAAAUGUAUUUCCCUCUUGGGGAAUACCUUCCACUGUCUCAGGUGGCUGAGGCAUCCACUUAACUGGGCAAAUCAUACAAGCCUUAGCAAAAACCUUUCAAACUUCAUAGAAUUAUCACUGAGUCUAUCACCCUCGAUCAACAGGCCAAUUUGAGAAAACUAAUGGCAAAACUGGAUUCAAGUAGAACAAGUAUUAAUUAAAUGGAACUGCGUGAAUUGAGGAGGAUGCUCUAAAGUUUUGUUUUUCCAGAUUUCAAUCUGGAAAUUUUCUUUUCUCUUCAGUAAGACACCUUUGUGAACAAAGAUGAGACAUUCACUUUUUCUUUCUAACCUGAUCACUCCAAAAUUCAGGAACUCUCAGUGCGUAUAAAUAAUUAGGCCAAAUUUUAAUAUAAACAAAGUAGUUUUACUGUGACUAUCUUUGGUUAAAAAGAAAAACAGGGGUGAUGAUAGAGAAAAAAUACAUAUUUGUAACUUGGUAGAUAUUAGAUUUUGGUCCUGUUAACGGUGUUCGAGGUUUGUUGUAUACCUAUAGCCUGAACUCCCCUGGCCUAAGGUAUUGCCUUUUGUCUCGCUGACUGGUAGGAGUACCCCCAGUUAGAAAACAUCAACUCACUCCACAUGAGAUAGUUACCGGCAGACUCGUAUCUAUUCAGAUGCAAGCUUGUGCUGAUCCUGUGGUGUCUUAUGCUAUCACGACCGGCUUCUCUAAGUCUUAUACUCAAGGUUAUCAUCAACGGGUUAAAGAAAACUUCCAGGAUUCCAGUUUAAAGGAUCCUGUUGGUUACAGCCUAGAAACUAGUGAUCAAGUAUUCUAGAAGCAUCAUCAGAGGAAGACAGCCCUCAAGCCAUGUUGGAAAGGACCUUACCAAGUGCUUCUGAUCACUGGUGCUGCUGCAGAACUAGAAGGCAUUGAACUCGGGAGAUAUCUCACAGCUAAAGGAUUCAUGUGACAUCCAGUCCUGUACAAAUGCUGGAGACUUCAAAAUCAAAUUGACUGAGAAGAGAAGCAGCCAACAUCUGAUGUUGACAGUUUUUCCAAGAUUUGGCACCAGUUGUUAAGCUGAACUUUGGAAGCACCUGAGACUUAACAAAAACAAGAGAGAAUACUGAAAAUGGAAAUUUUGCACAGAAUUAAG
rnacentral:lncRNA from 1 species